AUCACCUGGGAAUCUUGUUAAAUGGCAGAAUCUGCCUCAGUAGGUCUGCGACAAGACCUGAGAUUCUGCAUUUCUAAUAGGCUCCCAGGUGAAACCAA
rnacentral:pre_miRNA from 1 species